ensembl:lncRNA
GUGAUAUUUUAAUCUGAGGAUUAGAUUUUAUUUAGAGGUUAGAUUUAAUCUGAGGAUUAGAUGUGUUUUAAUCUGAGAUAGAUUUUACUUAGAGGUAGAGAUUUUAAUCUGAGGAUUAGAUUUUAUUUAGAGGUGUAGAUUUUAAUCUGAGGAUUAGAUUUUAAUCUGAGGAUAGAUUUUUAAUCUGAGGAUUAGAUUUUAUUUAGAGGUGUAGAUUUUAAUCUGAGGAUUAGAUUUUAUUUAGAGGUGUAGAUUUUAAUCUGAGGAUUAGAUUUUAUUUAGAGGUGUAGAUUUUAUUUCCUGAGGAUUAGAUUUUAUUUAGAGGUGUAGAUUUUAAUCUGAGGAUUAGAUUUUAUUUAGUGUGUAGAUUUUAAUCUGAGGAUUAGAUUUUAUUUAGAGGUGUAGAUUUUAAUCUGAGGAUUAGAUUUUAUUUAGAGGUGUAGAUUUUA